rnacentral:rRNA from 1 species
UGGGGAAUAUUGCACAAUGGGCGGAAGCCUGAUGCAGCGACGCCGCGUGGGGGAUGAAGGCCUUCGGGUUGUAAACUCCCUUCGACAGGGACGAAGCUUUUGUGACGGUACCUGUAUAAGAAGCACCGGCUAACUACGUGCCAGCAGCCGCGGUAAUACGUAGGGUGCGAGCGUUGUCCGGAAUUACUGGGCGUAAAGAGCUCGUAGGUGGUUUGUCGCGUCGUCUGUGAAAUUCCGGGGCUUAACUCCGGGCGUGCAGGCGAUACGGGCUGACUUGAGUGCUGUAGGGGAGACUGGAAUUCCUGGUGUAGCGGUGAAAUGCGCAGAUAUCAGGAGGAACACCGAUGGCGAAGGCAGGUCUCUGGGCAGUAACUGACGCUGAGGAGCGAAAGCAUGGGUAGCGAACAGGAUUAGAUACCCUGGUAGUCCGUGCCGUAAACGGUGGGCGCUAGGUGUAGGGGGCUUCCACGUCUUCUGUGCCGUAGCUAACGCAUUAAGCGCCCCGCCUGGGGAGUACGGCCGCAAGGCUA